rnacentral:sRNA from 1 species
GCUGGGUGUGGUGGCUCACGCCUGUAAUCCCAGCUACUUGGGAGGCUGAAGUGAGAGAAUCGCUUGAACCCAGGAGGCAGAGGUUGCAGUGAGCCGAGGUGGUGCCACUGUACUCCAGCCUGGGUGACAGAGCGAGACCCCGUCUCAA